GAAAACCUGAUUGUCCACAUGAUAGCAAAAUCAUCGACAAGGCAAUGAUAGGGCUUUGAUCCUAGUUAGCAGUGGUCUCUCUGAAGAUGGUGAGUCUAAUGGUCCAAAGGUGAGGUUGAAUUUAGGAGAGCGGAGACAGAAACCAAGAAGGCAGAGGAUCAAAGUGCUGCCGAUGAUUUGUAGUUUGGGAGACGAUGACUUGUCAAAGAUGACAAUGUGUGGAGUCGACGAUUUUUUCUAUCAAACAAAUGUUAGCUUCUUCAUUUGAAUCACUAAAGCUUGAUGAAGAUCUUGAAUAAUUCUCCUCCCAUUUCUUUUUCUUGAAUAAAAGUUUGCCCUUCUUCCCUUCUCUUUU
rnacentral:lncRNA from 1 species